AUUGAACGCUAGCGGGAUGCUUUACACAUGCAAGUCGAACGAGUGGCGGACGGGUGAGUACUAUAUCGGAACGUGCCCAGUAGCGGGGGAUAACUAAUCUAAAGAGUGGCUAAUAACGCAUACUAUUGACACGGCCGAUAUCGGAUUAGCUAGUUGGUGGGGUAAAGGCUCACCAAGGCAACGAUCCGUAGCUGGUUUGAGAGGACGACCAGCCACACUGGGAAUGAGACACGGCCCAGACUCCUACGGGAGGCAGCAGUGGGGACUUUUGGACAAUGGGGGAAACCCUGAUCCAGCCAUCCCGCGUGUAUGAGAAGGCCUUCGGGUUGUAAAGUCCUUUUGGCAGAGAAGCGGUAUCUGCAGAAUAAGCACCGGCUAACUACGUGCCAGCAGCCGCGGUAAUUC
rnacentral:rRNA from 1 species